rnacentral:misc_RNA from 1 species
GAUGAAGAACGCAGUGAAAUGCGAUAAGUAAUGUGAAUUGCAGAAUUCAGUGAAUCAUCGAAUCUUUGAACGCACCUUGCGCCCUUUGGCUAUUCCGAAGGGCAUGCCUGUUUGAGUAUCGUGAACACCUCAACUCUCAUGGUUUGCCAUGAUGAGCUUGGACUUUGGGGGUUUUGCUGGCCUUUGGUCGGCUCCUCUCAAACGGAUCAGCUUUCCAGUGUUUGGUGGCGUCACGGGUGUGAUAACUAUCUACGCCUGUGGUUUUCUGCCAGAUAACCUUCAGCGAUGGAGGUUCGCUGGGGCUCAUAAAUGUCUCUCUUCAGUGGAGACAGCUUUUUGGACGUUUGAUCUCAAAUCAGGUAGGACUACCCGCUGAACUUAAGCAUAUCAAUAAGCGGAGGA